GCCUAAUACAUGCAAGUCGAACGAUGAAGCUUCUAGCUUGCUAGAAUGCUGAUUAGUGGCGCACGGGUGAGUAACGCAUAGGUUAUGUGCCUCUUAGUUUGGGAUAGCCAUUGGAAACGAUGAUUAAUACCAGAUACUCCCUACGGGGGAAAGAUUUAUCGCUAAGAGAUCAGCCUAUGUCCUAUCAGCUUGUUGGUAAGGUAAUGGCUUACCAAGGCUAUGACGGGUAUCCGGCCUGAGAGGGUGAACGGACACACUGGAACUGAGACACGGUCCAGACUCCUACGGGAGGCAGCAGUAGGGAAUAUUGCUCAAUGGGGGAAACCCUGAAGCAGCAACGCCGCGUGGAGGAUGAAGGUUUUAGGAUUGUAAACUCCUUUUGUUAGAGAAGAUAAUGACGGUAUCUAACGAAUAAGCACCGGCUAACUCCGUGCCAGCAGCCGCGGUAAUACGGAGGGUGCAAGCGUUACUCGGAAUCACUGGGCGUAAAGAGCGCGUAGGCGGGAUAGUCAGUCAGGUGUGAAAUCCUAUGGCUUAACCAUAGAACUGCAUUUGAAACUACUAUUCUAGAGUGUGGGAGAGGUAGGUGGAAUUCUUGGUGUAGGGGUAAAAUCCGUAGAGAUCAAGAGGAAUACUCAUUGCGAAGGCGACCUGCUGGAACAUUACUGACGCUGAUUGCGCGAAAGCGUGGGGAGCAAACAGGAUUAGAUACCCUGGUAGUCCACGCCCUAAACGAUGGAUGCUAGUUGUUGGAGGGCUUAGUCUCUCCAGUAAUGCAGCUAACGCAUUAAGCAUCCCGCCUGGGGAGUACGGUCGCAAGAUUAAAACUCAAAGGAAUAGACGGGGACCCGCACAAGCGGUGGAGCAUGUGGUUUAAUUCGAAGAUACACGAAGAACCUUACCUAGGCUUGACAUUGAGAGAAUCCGCUAGAAAUAGUGGAGUGUCUGGCUUGCUAGACCUUGAAAACAGGUGCUGCACGGCUGUCGUCAGCUCGUGUCGUGAGAUGUUGGGUUAAGUCCCGCAACGAGCGCAACCCCCUUUCUUAGUUGCUAACAGGUCAUGCUGAGAACUCUAAGGAUACUGCCUCCGUAAGGAGGAGGAAGGUGGGGACGACGUCAAGUCAUCAUGGCCCUUACGCCUAGGGCUACACACGUGCUACAAUGGGGUGCACAAAGAGAAGCAAUACUGCGAAGUGGAGCCAAUCUUCAAAACACCUCUCAGUUCGGAUUGUAGGCUGCAACUCGCCUGCAUGAAGCUGGAAUCGCUAGUAAUCGCAAAUCAGCCAUGUUGCGGUGAAUACGUUCCCGGGUCUUGUACUCACCGCCCGUCACACCAUGGGAGUUGUGUUUGCCUUAAGUCAGGAUGCUAA
rnacentral:rRNA from 1 species